GGAAGAUUGUAAGCUUGGAAGGGACAAGACCUGACAGUACAAAAGCUGCUCUGGCCCCUGGGAGGGGACGGCCCGGGGACGGGGAGGGUGGGGGGCACGAAGACAGGCCAAGAUGCCCAAUGUGGAGAGAGUGGUAGGGAGGCAGGAGGAGGGGGCGGGGAAUACAGAAAAGGGUUUUGAUUUGAGAGAUAUUUAAUAGAUAAAAUUAGGGCAAGGCAAAAUGAGGAAGAGAGAGACCUGGGAUUCAGGCUUGGGUAACUGGGUGCUCUUUCCAUUGCCUCGCAGAGCGCCUGCACACGCUAAGGCUGAGCACACACCAUUUGGACCUUUGCCUACAGGCUAAGCAGCCCACCCGGUUCAAUGGAAGGACAGACCCAAACCGUCCUGUCUGUGAUGUUCCCUGCCCCUUCUAGUGAUGUCUGACACCUUCACUGGAGACCCGGAGACAGAAGCCCCACUGCUCUGAAGGCCAGAAUGGAUUGUUGCUGAUGCCUGCUGGCUGGGGGUGAGACCUCUCUGGUGCCUCAACACCCUGUAAGACCUCAGGACCUUUGCUUCACCUUGGUGGGGGAACCCUAAGAAAGGCUGAAGUUGGGUGUCUUGCUAAUCCAGCAAGAUGGGCAUUCAGAGUAGAAGAUCUGUUCGGAGGACUCCUGACUAAGAGCCAGCUCCUGAAACCGAAAGCCUUGUGAUUUGGAGUUGGACACAUCUGGUUGUGGUUUGCCCAGGUCAGCAGGCCUGCGCUAGUGAGCUGGUUAGAACUUCCCCUCUCGGGGCCGUGUGUUGACUGCUGCAAGCCUGCGGGACACCGGACACCAUGUGUGGUCCCCCACAUGAAAGGACCCUGUCUGCCGGGCCUCCAGGGAGUCAUCCUCAGAGGAAGCUGGGUUCCUGGAAAGCUCUAUGUGGAGCUGUGACCCCACGGAGCCACGCUGACCCUGGCAGGUGAUGCCCUCAGCUUCCAUCACAGGUGGCCAUGGCAAGCGGCCACAGGGAACGGGGUUAUCUGCUAGACUUCCUACCUGCUGCGGGAGGGAGGUCGUGUUUCUACCAGAGUGCCUAGAGAUCUGAACUUCACAGAAGAUUGUGACAUGCUUCGGGCUUUCUCGUAUUGAGAUCCGUGCAACAGGCCAUGCCUCUCUUUUCCCUUUGACUACCAGAAAGCUCAGAACCAAAUAAGUGGUUCAGUUAUAACAAUUGACUUCAUCUUUGUGGUCCAUGCGCCUAUGUUUCUCUCUCUCAUUCUGACAAACUUUUGCUGCUGUUUCUAUUUUCCCGCUUCUUGGUCUCGGCUGAGUGAUUCAGCCCAGGUCCUGCAAUGCUCCUCCUGGGUCUGAAUCCCAGCUCCACCAUUCACUAGCCAUGUGGUCGGGUUAUUUAAUCUUUCUGUAACUCGGCACCUCAGGUGUUAAAUGGGGGUAAUAGCUGCAUCUACUUCAUGGGUGGAUUACAAGGAUUAAAUGAGAUAAUACAUACCAAGGGCUUAGAACAAUGCAUGGUACAGAGUAGGCAAUAGAUGUCAGCCUAAUUCCCCACUCUUUUAUUAGCACUGUACGUGAAUUUGGUGCGAGCUGUAAGAAGAAUAUUAGGGAAAAAAAAGAUAAUUUUUCCAUUAUUUUUCAAAACUCUAAAGAGCUGGCUGGAGCAGAGAAAGAUACUAAGAACAAGCAUUCCUGGUUGUCAGGCAUUGAACAACCCACUUCACACUUUGUUUCAUUCUUACAAAACCCCCAAGAUGUGAACGUUGUGAUUAUACCCAUUUUAUGGAUUUCAUAAUUGUAAGUGCAGAGGCAGGAUUCAUACCCAGGCUGGUUUGGUACAGACACCAUAUGUCUAACUCCUGUUGCUGGCCUCCCGCUAGGCCGGCACUCAGACACCUCAGGCACCAAGGAAACUCUUGGGCCAGAUCAGCUUCCAGUCAGCUCUCUUCUUUAGCCUCAGUCUCCUCGGCAGUCAAACAGAGGUACUGGACUAGAUCGGUGUUUUGAAAACUGGGUUUUUAGCAGCAAAACCCUUUCCCCAAUUGAAACCUCACUCCAAAGACUGGUAUCAAAACACAUAAAAGUAGAAUCUGUCUGAUUGAAGUGUGUGUGUGUGUGUGUGU